AAACCAACAGGGAUUGCCUCAGUAACGGCGAGUGAAGCGGCAAAAGCUCAAAUUUGAAAUCUGGUACCCCUACCGGGUGCCCGAGUUGUAAUUUGAAGAUGGCAAACUUUGGAGUUGGCCCUUGUCUAUGUUCCUUGGAACAGGACGUCACAGAGGGUGAGAAUCCCGUCUGACGAGGUGACCCAGCUCCGUGUAAAGUGCUAUCGAAGAGUCGAGUUGUUUGGGAAUGCAGCUCUAAGUGGGUGGUAAAUUCCAUCUAAAGCUAAAUAUUGGCGAGAGACCGAUAGCGAACAAGUACAGUGAUGGAAAGAUGAAAAGAACUUUGAAAAGAGAGUGAAAAAGUACGUGAAAUUGUUGAAAGGGAAGGGUAUUAGAUCAGACUUGGCCACCCUACCGAUUAUCUGCCCCUCGUGGGCAGUGCACUCGUGGGUGAGCUGGGCCAGCAUCGAUUCGGGCGGCAGGAUAAUGGCAACAGAACGUGGCAUCUUACCCUGCGGUGGAUGUGUUUAUAGCUGUUUGCAGAUGCUGCCUGGCUGGAUCGAGGACUGCGUCCCUAGGGACUAGGAUGCUGGCGUAAUGAUCUAAUAUCGC
rnacentral:rRNA from 1 species